AAGUAUACUGCUCAACAAAUACAUAAAAAAAUAAUAAAAAUAAAUUGUAUCUAAAAAUGUAAAAUAAUUUAAAUCAUGCCAUCUAUUAAUGGGAAACCAAACUAUACUUGCCACCAGAUGUCGUAUCAGUAACGCACCUCUUUUGUCGACCUCGCAUUACUGGUACGUGUUUUCUGGUGAUCUGGACGCCAUUCUGGUUUCCAUUCAAGAAGAGUUAUGGAAAAGUCACGUAGUAGUAUACUACUUUGUGGGAAGAGUUGAUCUCGAAGAAGCUUGUUUUGUGGAGUUAACAAUUUUUUCAUAAACAUUGCUGUAGAAAAUAAAAUUAAAAAAAGAAGCAGAUUUUCAAUUCUGCAUUUCGAAGAUGAUUAAGAACAAGAUGUUGGCAUGGAUGAGAUGGCGCGCCACCAUACUAUGCCCUUCCUGUUUGGGUUUAUUUAAACCAAUUAUUUUCCAAUGGAUGGAAUUGGAGAAGGGACCAAACCAAAUGUUACACCACUGGACCAAAUACUUCCGAUGAACAAAAAAUCAGAAUCCAAGAAGAAGUUCAGCGAAUAAUUCUUGAUACCUUAGGGAAUUGUCAAGAAGAAUUUAAAAAUCGUUUAGGAGCUGCACAAGGUGAAGCCAACCCUCUAAAAGUAAAGAUAGUACCGAUUUGUCUCAGUUGUGCACCCACUGAAAUUACAAACACCUUUAAGAAAGAUUUGAUAAGCAAUAUAAUGACACCAACUAUGGUUUUCAUGUAGUCUAACUUUUGAAGACAAUUCCUCAGGUUAACAGCUUGUGGACGAAUUGCAUGGAUUUAAGAUGGUCAAUCAUGGUGCAACUAAAAUGGGGCCAUUAUGUUAAUAGUAAAUAUUUUCUCUGAUAUUCAAUGGAACUUCCUUCAGUAGGUCUUCCAAAUUAAUUACAAAAAAGGAAAAUUGAUGCUGAACGUCACUUUCCACUGUCACAUGUGGGUUAUUAUCAGACCAACAUCAAUUUGUGUAUUAUUUCCACAAUAUGCUGCUGAGAUAUUUCAAUGAUUACAUAUUUGUGAUAUGUAGUUAGGAACCAGUCUUUUAUGGCUGUGCUAUGGAUAGGUACACAAGUGUUCUACAACGAAUAAUUGCCACAGACCUUUAGAAUAAUUCUUUGUGGAAUGCAUGUGUACUUGCAACCUGUACAUUUUGGGAUUUGUUUUGUUAAAGUAUCUAAAAUGUAACUCUUCCUUAUAACUCUGCUUAUUUUCUGUGUACUGGGUAUUAUGUAACUGUUCACACAAUUAUUUUGCGUCAUUCAAACUUCUGUGUAAGUAACAUUUUUAAAAUUAUAACCAAGAACUCAAAUAUUAAUAAAAUAAGUUUGAUAGAAAGCUUA